GGUUUCCUCUUUCCCAAGCAUAGCUUUAAGAAUCUUAGAUGUCACUGAGUGUAUAGAAAGAGGUGGCAGAAUAAAUCUACCCAGUGUACACCUCAACCUAGGUCACUGUGCCUGAUCUGUGUUGUAAAUGGAGAGACAUGG